CUUCUUGCAAAAUCAAUGUCUUACUUCAUGGAUUCGAGAGUUUUCAUUUCCCUAUUAGUACUUGUUUAUAAACUGG
rnacentral:tRNA from 1 species